rnacentral:rRNA from 1 species
AAACUUUCAACAACGGAUCUCUUGGCUCUGGCAUCGAUGAAGAACGCAGCGAAAUGCGAUAAGUAAUGUGAAUUGCAGAAUUUAGUGAAUCAUCGAAUCUUUGAACGCAC